rnacentral:rRNA from 1 species
AGUGAACGCUGGCGGCGUGCUUAAUACAUGCAAGUCGAACGAUGAAGUCCUAGCUUGCUAGGAUGGAUUAGUGGCGCACGGGUGAGUAAUAUAUAGUUAAUCUGCCUUGCACUGAGGAACAACAGUUGGAAACGAUUGCUAAUACCUCAUACUCCAACUUUACAUAAGUUAAGUUGGGAAAGUCUUUUCGGUGCAAGAUGAGACUAUAUCGUAUCAGCUAGUUGGUAAGGUAAUGGCUUACCAAGGCUAUGACGCGUAACUGGUCUGAGAGGAUGAUCAGUCACAUUGGAACUGAGACACGGUCCAAACUCCUACGGGAGGCAGCAGUAAGGAAUAUUGUGCAAUGGGGGAAACCCGGACGCAGCAACGCCGCGUGGAGGAUGACACUUUUCGGAGCGUAAACUCCUUUUGUUAGGGAAGAAUAAUGACGGUACCUAACGAAUAAGCACCGGCUAACUCCGUG